ACGAAGGAAUUAGUGCUGAAAUCGAUCUUGCCGGGUCCAAUUUGGGGUAGUGUGGACACAAUUUGACGGCAUUGGCCUCCGGGAGCUAUCCCAGAGUACUUCAUUGUGACUGCUCUGGACAGCUCUCUCAACUCAGAUGCACUGGCCAGG